GAGGGUAUAGCUCAGCAGUAGAGCGUGUGCUUAGCAUGCAUAAGGUCCUGAGUUCAAUCCUCAGUGCUUCCA
rnacentral:tRNA from 1 species